UACGGAGGGUGCAAGCGUUAUCCGGAUUUACUGGGUUUAAAGGGUGCGUAGGCGGCUUUUUAAGUCAGUGGUGAAAGCCUAGUGCUUAACACUAGAAUGGCCAUUGAUACUGGAGAGCUUGAGUCAAGGAGAGGUAAGCAGAAUUUAUGGUGUAGCAGUGAAAUGCUUAGAUACCAUAAGGAAUACCAAUAGCGAAGGCAGCUUACUGGCCUUCGACUGACGCUGAGGCACGAAAGCGUGGGGAGCAAACAGG
rnacentral:rRNA from 1 species